rnacentral:lncRNA from 1 species
UAGGAGAAGAAAAUUAAAUUGUAGAGGAAGCCAAUCACACCAUUACUUUCUCAACUGAAAACAUGCUAUUAAUUAGAAGAUCUCUUGAAAUCCAAAAAGUGUGCCGCAUAAAUUGCAUGCAUUGGUCCUUCAAUUAAUAGAUGUGGUCUAAUUAAUAUGCAUGCAACUAGUACUACUCUAAUGUGUCUUAGUGUUUUGGGAUUAUUUGAUUUUCGUAAGAUGCCUAAUGCACCGAGACGGAGGAAGUAGUUUAUGUUACUAUGCACUAUGAAGGUAUUAUCAUACAAUAUGUUACUCUCCAUUAUGAGCAGCCUUACUCAACACAGAUGAAGUACCAGCAUCACAGUGCAUCCGUGCAGGAGUUCCGCAUCGGUUGCCAGGAGCUGCGUCGUGUGACUCCUGCCUCGCCUUUAUCGGCCGCCAACCGCAUCGCUAGCCGUGGGCGGCCGGUGAGGGCUGCGCCAUGGCGAGAGCCGCAUCGCGUGCCACGCCACGCACGGGAGUCGUCGCGGGUCGGUCAACAGCGUAGCCAUGGUUGUUGGCCACCGUGAGCCAACGGGCGCGGGCAGUGACGGGCCGAGGGUCGAGGAGCGUCGGGUGCUCUGUCGAGAGAGGAGGUCGAGAGCGCCGCUGAGCCGCGUGCUAGAUGCAGCGCUGACACUGCUUGCUAGAUGCCGUCACUUGGAAGGCGAUGCAUCGCGCCAUGCGCCACCGAGUUGGGCUGGAGGGAGCUGCCGUUGCGUCGCCGCACUGCAUCUUAUAGCCCCAGCCACUCAUCCGCGUCGCCGUGUACGCUCUUGCCGUUGGGUCUCGUGGAAGAGCUGAGAAGCCGAGGCGCAUGGACGUGGGAGCCGCUGAUGGAUGAUUGAUCCAGCACAAGAAAAAUUGAAGAGCGCAUGGUACCUUUUUCCUCUUUGCAUCACUAGAUCGAUGGGAUUCUCCUUCUGUGCCUUUUCUCGCGGGCCUCGUUCCUGGUAAGGCAUGUGUUGUGCAUGCAUGCACAAAUCUGAAAAAGCAACCUUAUUUCUUCCCAGAUCGAGAGAAUGCGUCGGACUGAGAGGUCCUCGCAACGCGUCGGCUGGAGGCCUGCGCCGUCCUGCAGGGUGAGGCGUGGAUUGCCUUCGGUUCCAGCGCUACUCGCCGAGUCGCCGGCGAUUCAAAUUCCUUCGUUCGCCUCAUAUGGCUGACGAAUUCCGUCCAAUUCCUGUUUGGAGUAGCGAUGACAUCUCCUGCGCAGAGGUAACCAAGUUACUAGAUCUUUGAUCUUAAUCAUAAAAGACAACCAAGUUGGCUUUCCAUUGAUUGAUCUCGUGCUCGGAUGCGGGCUUUCCAUUGAUUGAUUUCGUGCUCGGAUGCGUGCUCUUCUUUGUGAUCUUGGGCAUGCUCUCACGACCAUCGUGAACGCCG